rnacentral:sRNA from 1 species
AAAAGAUGAGGACUGUGUGGAGAUCUACAUCAAGAGAGAAAAAGAUGUGGGCAUGUGGAAUGAUGAGAGGUGCAGCAAGAAGAAGCUUGCCCUAUGCUACACAGCUGCCUGUACCAAUACAUCCUGCAGUGGCCACGGUGAAUGUGUGGAGACCAUCAAUAAUUACACUUGCAAGUGUGACCCUGGCUUCAGUGGACUCAAGUGUGAGCAAAGUAAGUCUGGUUCUCACCUCUUUCUUCAUUUGAGAUGGUAGCACCAUCUCAUGUCCUAGCUGGCACUGGAGUCAGGUCUGCAUGCCUUCCCUUCCCUGGUGCAGAUGGUGUCAUAUGGUGAUCGUGAGCUGAGACUAUGAAAACCCUGCUGGGUUUGAGUCCUAGAUUCACCAGUUAUUUAUUUUGGCACCUUGACAAGAUAGUUUAACUCUCUAUGUCAGUUUUCUCAUUGUAAAAUGAGGAUAAUAAUAGUGUGAACUUCAUAGGCUCAUGGUUACAUGGUGCCUGGCACAUAGGACACAUUCAGUAAACUGUAGUUCUGUGUCCCUGCAGGGAACAU